CCUCACUCUGGCGGCGUGCUUAACACAUGCAAGUCGAACGGAAAGGCCCUGCUUUUGUGGGGUGCUCGAGUGGCGAACGGGUGAGUAACACGUGAGUAACCUGCCCUUGACUUUGGGAUAACUUCAGGAAACUGGGGCUAAUACCGGAUAGGAGCUCCUGCUGCAUGGUGGGGGUUGGAAAGUUUCGGCGGUUGGGGAUGGACUCGCGGCUUAUCAGCUUGUUGGUGGGGUAGUGGCUUACCAAGGCUUUGACGGGUAGCCGGCCUGAGAGGGUGACCGGCCACAUUGGGACUGAGAUACGGCCCAGACUCCUACGGGAGGCAGCAGUGGGGAAUAUUGCACAAUGGGCGGAAGCCUGAUGCAGCAACGCCGCGUGCGGGAUGACGGCCUUCGGGUUGUAAACCGCUUUCGCCUGUGACGAAGCGUGAGUGACGGUAAUGGGUAAAGAAGCACCGGCUAACUACGUG
rnacentral:rRNA from 1 species